AUCAUUUACUGAAGGAUGGUGGUGGUAAGGUGAUCAUCCCUCUGAAAUGUUCUGUUGGGGUUUCUUCUUCGGAACCAAGCCCCUAACUAGAUUAGUUAGGCACUAGACUUGCCGUUGAAGCUAGUUAGAAUGCUCCGUGGUUGAGGCAGGGAUUAAGGAAGGCGAGAUUCUCUUAAGAUGUUCUUUUUUGAGUAACCCAG
rnacentral:lncRNA from 1 species